GAGCGGCUAGAAGCCGACUUCACGCUCUACGGCCUCAGUCCAGUUACGGAACUGUGGUAUUAGUUCCUACUCCCAGGAAAUUUAGAAUUGAUGGGUCUUCUCAGUUGGUCUCUACCAUCAUUCCCAGCUGUUUGGAGUACCUUCACCGAGAUCUCCUGACCAAAGGAUACCUGUGAUUGCAUUUAGGAUCUCCCAGAAGAUAAUACAGGAUAUGCUGGAUUUCUUUCAGCAGGAAUGACUCCAUAUAUAACUUUACAUUUGGUGCAUCUGUGGGAGAAGAGGAGUUUGGGAGCCUCCUAUGUAACCAUCUUUGCAGCUACUCCUGUUUAGAUGUUGAUAUUGUAAUUCUCAUGAUAUUGAGGGUUGGAUUUUGUUGUGUUCCCUUAAACAAUGUUGGAUGUUGUUUUAGAGGCAAUUACAUUAUUUCUUACAAUCAA